GUAAACCUAUUAACCUCUAUUUAAGAGGUCUAUUGCUAAAAAUAAAAUGAAGUCAAAUUAAGCAAAUUUUACGAGAUUUAAGGUUCUUUCUAACAAGUCUUAAGGUUUGGAAUUCCCUUCAAGGAGUUCCACUUGUUCAACAUAGGUCAUUCGUGAGGAAGAGGUAAAAAUCAAGGAAAGAACCCUAACAAGACAAACAGAUUGCCUGUGAAUCCUCCGGUGACAAUAUUCAUCCGUCGAGGCUAUAACAAUUUGGUAUCAGAGCCAGGAACAAUGGACGUUCCAUUACAAGAGAGGAGUUGGAGUUGUUUAAAGCAUAAAUAGAGUUAAAGAUCAAUCAAUUCAUGCUAUAGAUGGGGGAAUUGAUUAUUUCCAAUCAAAACUUUGAUAAGGGAAAAGGGGUUGACAGUAAUAACAGCAAUGUUGACAAAAAAAAGACAGUCAAAAUAGACAAAGUGAGUCUAGCCGCUUUUCACUUGACAAGGAAAGGCACAAUUGUGGUAUUAUCAAAUGGGGUAGGAAGAGCUUAAUCUUUUGUGGAAGGCAUUCAAAGAAUAUUGUACUCUACGAUUUGGACCACCACUGCGCGAGAAUCCUUUGAGGGAAUUAGUGAAGUUGAAUCAAAUGGGAUCAAUGGAAGACUGUUUUUGCCAAUUUCAAGAACUAUUAGCCCGUGUAAAUUCCAUGAGACUGGAUCAAUAAAUUAAUUUAUUUACUACAGGGUUAUCAGAUUCAAUCUGAAUAUAUGUGGAGAUGCAGAAACCUAAAAACUAUGUUCAUGCUAUGAAUUUGGCGCGAACUUUUGAGACAAAAUAUCAACUAACUCAAGCUGCCGACCUGUGUAGUUGGGAAUUGACAAGAGACUCUAGUGCUAGCAAGAAAGAUCCUCCUUUUAUUAAAAAGUCGUGUAAUGAUGGCAGAGAGAAGAGCCAAGGGUCUUAGUUACAAUUGUGACGAACCAUACUUGUUCAAGCACCAAUGUAAGAAAUUAUUUUGGUUUGAGGCAAAAGAUACCGAUGAUGUUGGGAAAAAUCAAGAGUGUAAGGAAGCUGAAAUAUCUUGACAUGCAAUAACAAGCCAAAAAAAUGCAUGAGCUAUUCAAUCUCGAGCUUGUGGACAAGCACUGUUUCCAGAAGGGGAGUAAUGUUAGAGGUCAAGUAAUUAUUAAAAGAUUAGUUUUUUAUUAUUUUAUUAGGAGAUUUUAGUUAUGAGUAUUUUAUAUCUUUAGAAGAUCUUUUUUAAUUAAAAGUAUUUGUAGAGAGAUAUUAUGAGUCUUUCAUUAUUUA